rnacentral:rRNA from 1 species
CAUAUCAAUAAGCGGAGGAAAAGAAACCAACCGGGAUUACCUCAGUAACGGCGAGUGAAGCGGUAACAGCUCAAAUUUGAAAUCUGGCUCCUGCGGAGUCCGAGUUGUAAUUUGUAGAAGAUGCUUUGGGAGGUAGGCUCGGCCUAAGUUCCUUGGAACAGGACAUCAGAGAGGGUGAGAAUCCCGUAUGUGGCCGUGGCCUACGCCCGUGUAAAGCUCUUUCGACGAGUCGAGUUGUUUGGGAAUGCAGCUCAAAAUGGGUGGUAAAUUUCAUCUAAAGCUAAAUAUUGGCCAGAGACCGAUAGCGCACAAGUAGAGUGAUCGAAAGAUGAAAAGCACUUUGGAAAGAGAGUUAAACAGUACGUGAAAUUGUUGAAAGGGAAGCGCUUGCACCCAGACUUGGGCGUCGUCGAUCAUCCGAGGUUCUCCUCGGUGCACUCGGCGAGGCACAGGCCAGCAUCGGUUUGGAUGGUUGGAGAAAGGCUCUAGGAACGUAGCUCUCUUCGGGGAGUGUUAUAGCCUAGGGCGUAAUGCAGCCCAUCUGGACCGAGGACCGCGCCUUCGGGCUAGGAUGCUGGCGUAAUGGUUGCAAGCGACCCGUCUU